AUUGAACGCUGGCGGCAUGCUUUACACAUGCAAGUCGAACGGCAGCGCGGGCUUCGGCCUGGCUGCGAGUGGCGAACGGGCGAGUAAUGCAUCGGAACGUGCCCAGCAGUGGGGGAUAGCGCGGCGAAAGCCGGAUUAAUACCGCAUACGACCUGAGGGUGAAAGCGGGGGAGCGAAAGGCCUCGCGCUAUUGGAGGGGCCGAUGUCGGAUUAGCUAGUUGGUGGGGUAAAGGCUUACCAAGGCGACGAUCCGUAGCUGGUCUGAGAGGACGACCAGCCACACUGGGACUGAGACACGGCCCAGACUCCUACGGGAGGCAGCAGUGGGGAAUUUUGGACAAUGGGGGCAAGCCUGAUCCAGCCAUGCCGCGUGCGGGAAGAAGGCCUUCGGGUUGUAAACCGCUUUUGUUCGGGAAGAAAAGCUCUGGGCUAAUACCCCGGGGGGAUGACGGUACCGGAAGAAUAAGCACCGGCUAACUACGUG
rnacentral:rRNA from 1 species